UACGGAGGGUGCAAGCGUUAUCCGGAUUCACUGGGUUUAAAGGGUGUGUAGGCGGAUCUUUAAGUCCGUGGUGAAAUCUCCGAGCUCAACUCGGAAACUGCCAUGGAUACUAUUGGUCUUGAAUCUUGUUGAGGUGGGCGGAAUACAUCAUGUAGCGGUGAAAUGCUUAGAUAUGAUGUAGAACACCGAUUGCGAAGGCAGCUCACUAAGCAAGUAUUGACGCUGAGGCACGAAAGCGUGGGGAUCAAACAGG
rnacentral:rRNA from 1 species